AAGUCGUAACAAGGUUUCCGUAGGUGAACCUGCGGAAGGAUCAUUAAAGAAUUCGGCUUCGCGGCCAAGCUCUCACCCCUUUGUAUACCGAAACCAUGUUGCUUUGGAGGGCCCCCUGCAUUUUCUCGGGCCUGCCCAGAGGUUAUAAAACCCCUAGAAUCUCUGCUGUCUGAGUACUAUGCAAUAGUUAAAA
rnacentral:misc_RNA from 1 species